AAUCUAGUAUUCAAUUAUGAUAUUAAAUUGCAAAUUUAAAGGUAAUUUUUAAAAUUUUAGAUUU
rnacentral:tRNA from 1 species